UUGCGCCAAGGUCCCUGAACUCACCUGGACACAGAGCAUCUGCAGCCCUUUCUAUCUCAGGAGGUUCACAGCUGUGUUCUUGUUCUGCAGAGCAUCUGCAGCCCUUUCUAUCUCAGGAGGUUCACAGCUGUGUUCUUGUUCUGCAGAGCGUCAGUAGCCCUUUAUAUCUCAGGAGGUUCACAGCUGUGUUCUUGUUCUGCAGAGCGUCAGUAGCCCUUUAUAUCUCAGGAGGUUCACAGCUGUGUUCUUGUUCUGCAGAGCGUCAGUAGCCCUUUAUAUCUCAGGAGGUUCAGAGCUGUGUUCUUGUUCUGCAGAGCGUCAGUAGCCCUUUCUAUCUCAGGAGGUUCACAGCUGUGUUCUUGUUCUGCAGAGCGUCAGUAGCCCUUUCUAUCUCAGGAGGUUCACAGCUGUGUUCUUGUUCUGCAGAGCGUCAGUAGCCCUUUCUAUCUCAGGAGGUUCACAGCUGUGUUCUUGUUCUGCAGAGCGUCAGUAGCCCUUUAUAUCUCAGGAGGUUCAGAGCUGUGUUCUUGUUCUGCAGAGCGUCAGUAGCCCUUUAUAUCUCAGGAGGUUCACAGCUGUGUUCUUGUUCUGCAGAGCGUCAGUAGCCCUUUAUAUCUCAGGAGGUUCACAGCUGUGUUCUUGUUCUGCAGAGAGUCAGUAGCCCUUUAUAUCUCAGGAGGUUCACAGCUGUGUUCUUGUUCUGCAGAGAGUCAGUAGCCCUUUAUAUCUCAGGAGGUUCACAGCUGUGUUCUUGUUCUGCAGAGCGUCAGUAGCCCUUUAUAUCUCAGGAGGUUCACAGCUGUGUUCUUGUUCUGCAGAGAGUCAGUAGCCCUUUCUAUCUCAGGAGGUUCACAGCUGUGUUCUUGUUCUGCAGAGCGUCAGUAGCCCUUUCUAUCUCAGGAGGUUCACAGCUGUGUUCUUGUUCUGCAGAGCGUCAGUAGCCCUUUAUAUCUCAGGAGGUUCACAGCUGUGUUCUUGUUCUGCAGAGCGUCAGUAGCCCUUUAUAUCUCAGGAGGUUCACAGCUGUGUUCUUGUUCUGCAGAGAGUCAGUAGCCCUUUAUAUCUCAGGAGGUUCACAGCUGUGUUCUUGUUCUGCAGAGCGUCAGUAGCCCUUUAUAUCUCAGGAGGUUCACAGCUGUGUUCUUGUUCUGCAGAGAGUCAGUAGCCCUUUAUAUCUCAGGAGGUUCACAGCUGUGUUCUUGUUCUGCAGAGAGUCAGUAGCCCUUUAUAUCUCAGGAGGUUCACAGCUGUGUUCUUGUUCUGCAGAGAGUCAGUAGCCCUUUCUAUCUCAGGAGGUUCACAGCUGUGUUCUUGUUCUGCAGAGCGUCAGUAGCCCUUUAUAUCUCAGGAGGUUCACAGCUGUGUUCUUGUUCUGCAGAGAGUCAGUAGCCCUUUAUAUCUCAGGAGGUUCACAGCUGUGUUCUUCUUCUGCAGAGAGUCAGUAGCCCUUUCUAUCUCAGGAGGUUCACAGCUGUGUUCUUGUUCUGCAGAGCGUCAGUAGCCCUUUCUAUCUCAGGAGGUUCACAGCUGUGUUCUUGUUCUGCAGAGAGUCAGUAGCCCUUUAUAUCUCAGGAGGUUCACAGCUGUGUUCUUCUUCUGCAGAGCGUCAGUAGCCCUUUCUAUCUCAGGAGGUUCACAGCUGUGUUCUUGUUCUGCAGAGCGUCAGUAGCCCUUUCUAUCUCAGGAGGUUCACAGCUGUGUUCUUGUUCUGCAGAGCGUCAGUAGCCCUUUAUAUCUCAGGAGGUUCACAGCUGUGUUCUUGUUCUGCAGAGCGUCAGUAGCCCUUUAUAUCUCAGGAGGUUCACAGCUGUGUUCUUCUUCUGCAGAGCGUCAGUAGCCCUUUCUAUCUCAGGAGGUUCACAGCUGUGUUCUUGUUCUGCAGAGCGUCAGUAGCCCUUUCUAUCUCAGGAGGUUCACAGCUGUGUUCUUGUUCUGCAGAGCGUCAGUAGCCCUUUAUAUCUCAGGAGGUUCACAGCUGUGUUCUUGUUCUGCAGAGCGUCAGUAGCCCUUUAUAUCUCAGGAGGUUCACAGCUGUGUUCUUGUU